AUUUGAACAUGUAGUUUGGACAUGGUUUGUUCUGGUUCUAAACUGUGAGAGUGAACUUGAAAUGUUCAAGUUCAGUUGGCUUGGAAUUUAGAAACCUGGGCUCUCUUUAGCAGUACGUGCUUCAAUGAUGACUUUCUGAAAUCUCUUGGUGAAGUUGCAGUUCACGUCUGCUAACCAGCUUACAUAAUUUUGCUGGAAAAUUGGAAUACAGAUGCCAGUAGCAUUACAACGGAGUUAAAAGUUUAUAUUUUAAGCUUAAAAAUGUGCUGGUCUCAAUUUUUUUUUUUAUGCUUAGCUUAAUUUGAUGCUUAUUACUUUGUCCUGGGAGUCACAGCCACUGAAAUCACUUAUAUGAUCAACUAGGAAGAUGUUUUGUGAGGUGUAAGGCAGCGGGUGUUAGAGAACACAAGGAGGUGUGCAUUAUGAAGGGUCAGGGAAGAAGAAAAUACUAAAAGAUUACAUGGAAGAUGGAAGUCUUGUUUGGACCAGUACCUGUUUAUUUUUUGCAUCUGUCAUGUUCCCAAGGUAAUAAUUUUUAGUAAUUAACAAAUGUAUACUUUGAUGAAAGAAUAAGGGUGGAUUGUAGAAGUUCUAGAUGUAUGCUGAAGGUCCAAAGUGGGAAAUGGGAGGUGUUUUGUCCUUAAAGCAGACUCAGUCCUGUCUGGUGCAGGCUUCUUGUACAAAAGUUACAUUUGGGCUUCCUCUUCAAGCAGGGGGGCAAGGGGAGGAGCUGGUAGACAGGAGCUAAUACGGACAUGGUGAGGAAGAAUUCUAAGACUUAGCAAAAAAAAAAGCUUAAUUGGUGAUUGCCUCAGUGAGUACCUACCAAAACCACAGGUAGUCUAAAAACUACACAGUGGAUCUUGGUUCCUUUGAAACAUGGGGAGGGUGGAAAAUUUUCCAUUUGAACUUAAUGUAAAAAGUGAAGGGUUUGGAAAUGUGACUUUUCCUUUCUGCUGUGGUAGAGUUUUUUUGUCACGAUAAAUGCUGUAAUAGCUUCAGUGGGGUCAGCUUCAUGCUAGAGAAUUUGGAUUAAACUAAAUCUAUUUCAAAGACUUUUCAGAGCAAGUAUAGAGAACAAAAUGUCAAGCCAAGACAUAUAACAGGGAAAGAAACUACAGUGUUCUUUCUGCAGUAAUUUUUUAAAGACUGCUUGCUGUGUUGAAUUGGGGUUUGAGUUUAACAAUGCAAUCGCAAUCAGUUUUUUACGUUUCACUUGGAAAAAACUUUUGAGUGGUUUUAAGCACCAAAAAAUCUUUUCAGGAUGCAGGAAAAACUUGAUCUGUAGCAUUGGCUAGGGAUUUUUCUGGUCUUUCUGUCUUCUGAUGCACACAGCAUCUGUAUUUCUUACAAAAUGAAUAUACACACGUUUUUGCAUGCUUGAGUAAAAACGUUCUACUCAGUUGCACUGUGCCAUAGUUUUAUAUGAAGAUAACAGAUGCUAACUUUUUCUGAAAAACCUGGUUUUAAACAGACCAUAGCAGCAAGCUUUGGUUGCUGUGGAGGCAUGGAACUAAAUUCCGGCAAGUGAUUAAAAGACAACCAGUUAGUAGAUGGAUAUUCAGAUGUACGGAAUAUGUACCGGUCCUGUUAGAUUGGAUAGUUGUUUAUGCAGAAGUUUGCAUUAACCAGCAGGUAACAUGAGGGUUUAAAUACAACCAGAAAUGUUCUAAAUAACUCCAUUGUAUUAUUUUUUGCUGCCCCCCCCCCCUUCAAUUUUUCUCUCUAGUAAUUUUAUUUCAAAAUCUUCAUUGCUUUAAAAAAUAGUGUUUUAACAGGCAUUAUCAUAUGAAGCAGAUACCUUGGGUCCAUCAAAUUGCUGGUGAUUCAGAAGUCUUCAGUCUGCAUAUCCCUAGUAAAGCUUACAGCAUAGUUGGAAUUAAACUGAAGAUUUCUUGCUGUGUUUAUAGCUGUCAAAAAAAAAAAAAAAAAAAAAAAAAAAAAAAAAAAAAAAAAACCAAACCAUUAAGGUAGUUGUUUUUCCCUGAUUUGUUUAUAGUUUCAUACAUGAAAAUGAGACUAAGACAAAACCCUCUUUAGUUAAAUUAAAGAAAUUAGCACUAGAAGAAUGGAAUGAGAUAAUGCAUGAUCAAUAAAGGAUCUUAAGGUAUGAAGGUUAUUUUACUAGAACACAGACUACACUAAUUCCUUCAAAUGUGGGGAAAAAAAAAAAAGUACUGAUUGGAUUUAUCUGCUUUCUGGUCUUUGGUUCUUGGUGUCAUUGAAUGGAUGGUAUUUUCCCCCUGCACCUUCAAUACAAAUAUAAUGUAGGUAGAAAUUGAAGAACAGUUGGAUUCAUAUUAUUAUAGGCAAUUGCAUAUUUUAGAAAGCAGAUUGAGUUGUGGCUAAAAUACUUCAUGUAUAAGGCUGGGGGCUUGUAUUUUGGCAACAGUGCAGGACUAAUGCAGAGAAUGCAUGGGAACACAGGAAAAAAACUGCAUAAAUAUAUCAAGGAGAGGUACAGAAGGUAAAGGUAAAAGCUGCCUGUAUUACUGUGAAGUGAAAAUGGGCUGCUGUCAAUUAAUGCAUUCUAGUACAAAAGCAGCUGGUUUCAAAAUAAUCUGGAAUAUGAUAGUUGAUAAAUUAUAAUUUUAAGUGUCUAUUUUAGUCUGACAAAGAAUAGCAAUUCAGAAUAACCCUCAACUGGAAAACCAGAGUGCAGACAGACAAGCUCUUCCAGGUGUGUGUAGUGUAGAACAGUUCCUAAAUUGAUGUUUGUGAUGGUUUAGCUGAUGCCUGUAAACUGACUUUGCAUUCUUGGUUAAUGCAGCAGUAAAUUCUGCAGUAACUUUGGUCUGCAGUGCAUUUAGCACUCAGUCUUCUGCAGGGAUAGUUCAAAGCUGUCAGUGUCUUUUUUCUGUACUGCAGUGGUUGGUUUAAUGUCAACCAGUUGUGGGGGAAGAGUUCAGUAGCUUCCAGAUAAGCAGGAGUAAGAGCUGUAACUAUUUCGAGAGCAUCUGUGUGCCUUGGGUAGGUUAGAAGAGGUGGCAGGCAUAAUCUUCACAGUGAUAGGUGCCAGAAGUGAAACAGUGAAUUUGAUAGUAUAGCUGUGUAGAGUAAUACUUGAAAAUUUCUCUGGUAAACAAAGAAAAAAAAGGAUUAACAUCCUUGUUUGCCCAAAAUAGAUUUUGUUUGUUUGGGAUAUUUUUGCCUAUGCAUUAGAAGUAUUGGUGAGACUUUCAGUAUCUUUGAACAGUGAAGGAUUUUAAUUCAUGAUGGGACAAACCUUUAUCAGGACACACAGUUGAACAGAAUAUAUUGGUUUUUGACAGCUUUUAAUACUCAUCUUUGACCUCUGGGGUUGUUCCUGUGCUCUGGAAGGGUAGGCUCCUCCCUUUAAACGGCUUCUGCUGAGAUUGGUUCCUUCUUCAGGAACUUGAAGCAGAAACACUCUCAAGCUCUGAGUACUUAGGAGUCCUAGGUUUGGCAGAUUAGGUAAUUCUGGUUUUUGCCUAAACUUCAUUAAUUUUCAUAUGAACUGUGCAUUGUCCCAUCACAGAAUUAACCUGCAGAGUAAGAACAGUUGCUUAGAAGAUGGUGAUACAAGGUUAUCCUCAUGGGUGGGAUGCUAGCUGUAGAGCUGGGCAGCUGGCUUUGCUCCAGCUGCUUUGGCAGACCAGGGUUGUGGAGACAGAAUUUCAAAAUAGUUUUAUCAGGGAUGGGAAUUCUGACUCAAGUUUAGGCUCAGAUGUGAUCUCAUGUUUCAUUAGAGGGAAUGCAAAAAUUAAGCUGUCCACCUGUGUUUUGAAGAGCUGCCUAAGAGGUGAUCUCUUAGAAAGCAUUGGUAGACACUGAGUAUGGUAGUUUCAUGUAUGCUGAGGAGAAGAGAAGCUGGGCUUGUUAGUAAGUCAAGCCUGUUUUGUUUUUUUUCCUCUCUGGCCAGGAUCCAUACUAUAGAUUUAAUGAUGUGAUGUACAGAUGGAUCUCACUAGAUAACUGGACUUACAGCAGGACGUUCAAAACUCCUUUUGACAUCAGAAAGUGGCAGAAAGUGAAUUUGGUUUUUGAGGGAGUAGAUACAGUAGCACAGAUCCUGCUCAACAAUGUCACUCUCGGGAGAACAGACAACAUGUUCAACAGAUAUAGCUUUGAUAUUACCAGCGUGAUCCAGGAGGUCAAUUUUGUUGAAGUCCGUUUCUUGUCAGCCGUUUCCUACGCAGCGGAGCAGAGCAGAUGUCACAAAGCACACAGCAUCCCCCCGGCGUGCCCUCCACCUGUGCAGAAAGGAGAGUGCCACGUUAAUUUCAUCAGAAAGGAGCAAUGUUCAUUUAGUUGGGAUUGGGGCCCUUCUUUUCCCACUCAAGGAAUCUGGAAAGAUGUUAGGAUUGAGGCCUAUAACCAUUAUCAUCUGAUUUACUUUUCUAUAACUCCUUUCUUUGCAAAGAGUGCUCAGCAGUGGUGUCUUGAAGUCGAGUCUAUUUUUGAUGUAGUCAGCUCCAAGCCAAUUGCGGGUCUUGUGACUGUGAACAUUCCCAAGUUACAAACGCAGCAAACAUUCAGUGUGAAGCUUCAACCUGGAGAAGGCAGCAUUGUGCUGCUUGUAAACAUCAACAAGAGUGCUGUAGUGGAGGCUUGGUGGCCAAAUGGACAUGGAAAGCAAACUGGAUACAACAUGACCACAACUUUCAUGAUGGAGGCAGGAUGCCAGAUUGAGAAGUUUUCAAAGGUUUAUUUUCGGACAGUAGAACUUGUUCAGGAGCCUAUUCCUGGCUCACCAGGUCUGAGUUUCUACUUCAGAAUCAAUGGCCGACCCAUUUUUAUUAAGGGCUCAAACUGGAUUCCAGCAGAUUCUUUCCAGGACAGAGUGACCUAUGACACACUAAGGCUGCUCUUGAAGUCUGCAGCAGAUGCUAACAUGAAUGCCCUUCGGGUUUGGGGAGGAGGAGUAUAUGAACAAGAUGAGUUUUACGAUAUUUGUGAUGAAAUAGGAAUAAUGAUUUGGCAGGAUUUCAUGUUUGCUUGUGCGCUAUAUCCAACCGACCAGAAUUAUUUAGAAUCCGUAAGAGCAGAAGUUUCUCAUCAGGUGCGACGUUUAAAAUCUCAUCCAUCAAUUAUUCUGUGGAGUGGUAACAAUGAAAAUGAAGCAGCAAUUGCAAGCAACUGGUUCUCCAUACCUUAUCCUGACAUAGGAGUCUAUAUCAAAGACUACGUGACCCUUUAUGUGGAGAACAUACGUGAAAUAGUUCUUAGUGAAGAUAAGAGUCGUCCUUUUGUGGCAUCCAGUCCCACCAAUGGCUUGGAGUCAGUUAAAGAAGGCUGGCUCUCCCGGAAUCCUUAUGACACCCAUUACGGUGACACACACUUUUAUGACUACGACAGUGACUGCUGGAACUGGACAGUGUAUCCUAAAACUCGUUUUGCUUCAGAGUAUGGAUUUCAGUCCUGGCCUUCCUUCAGUACAAUUGAAAAGGUUUCCUCCCCUGAGGACUGGUCCUACACAAGCAAUUUUUCUCUCCAUCGGCAGCACCAUGAAGGUGGCAAUAUUCAGAUGCUUCAAGAGAUUGGGCGUCAUUUCAAGCUUCCCCAGAGCCCAGAUCCUGUAAAGCAGUUCAAGGAUAUGAUUUACCUCACUCAGGUGAUGCAGGCUCAGUGUAUAAAGACAGAAACUGAAUUCUAUCGUUUUAGUCAAAGUGAAAUAAUCAAUGGAGAAGGACACACCAUGGGAGCUCUGUACUGGCAGCUCAAUGACAUUUGGCAGGCACCUUCAUGGGCUUCCUUGGAGUAUGGUGGUAAGUGGAAACUGCUCCAUUAUUUUGCCCAGAACUUCUUUGCACCACUGCUGCCUGUGGCCUAUGAAGACAAAGGGGUGUUGCACAUCUAUGGUGUCUCAGACCUUCAUGAGGACCACAAGCUAACUUUAAGGGUCGUAGUGCACGCCUGGAGCUCUUUGGAGCCCGUGUGCAGCCUUGCCAAAGAAGGUGUGACUGUGAAAGCACAGAGUGCUGUCCCCAUCUACAAGGAGUCCAUCAGUGACCUUCUGGAAAGAUGCAGAUGUUGUACCAGGAAAAGCUGUGUUAUUACUUUCUGUCUCAUGGGAGAAGAUGGGCUCCAGAGUCCUACGAACCAUUACUUCCUUUCAUCACUCAAGGAUGCCGUGGGAUUAGAGAAGACCCAGCUUACUGCCUCUGUGUCCCAACAAGAUGAUGUUUAUAUAUUUGUUCUUCAGACCACUGCAAUUGCUCCUUUUGUUACUCUGGAUGUAGGGAGUAUAAAAGGCAGAUUUAGUGAUAAUGGUUUCCUCAUGACUGAAAAGAAGAAAAUGGUUGUGUUUUAUCCUUGGGAACCUACAAGUGUUGCAGAACUAGAAAGUUCACUAGUCUUGACCUCUCUACUGGACAUUGUCUGAGAAUACUUCAUUUCCUUCUAGAUAAAGAGUGAAACAGGAGGAGAAAAACAAAUUAGAAGAAUUUGAUUGAAGCUGAAGUGACAUGCACUUUGAGCUGUCUGAAGAACAUACUGUCUCUUCCUGUCUUGUGAAUUUUAACUGCUGGUUCAAUGUAAAGAUACAACAGCAAAGCUUACAUAUAAUAUAUGUGGUGUAUUGAAAACACAUCCAUAUUUUUUUCUAGUUUUACUAUUCUGUAAGUGGAAAUUCAGUUUAGUAUAACAGCCAGGUAUGCUGGGGGCAAGGGAGAAAGGAGAGGGAGUGAAGCUGGGACUGCCUCCAGUAGGCCACUGAGCCGCUCCAUGGGCAGGUUGCUAAACAUUUGGCUUGUCUGUCAGCCGUGGUUUGAAAUGUAGCUGGGAUCUUGCUGGGGUUCCACAAGGAUCCUCUGUCCACCCAAGCAAAUAUUACUUUUCUUGCAAAGCAGAAUCAGCAUCACAGCAGGUGGAGUUUGAACGACCUCUGCCACAUGCAUCGCUGUGGUAAAAGCAGCACGUGGGCAUUACUCACUGGUGCUGUGGGGGAGCAGCUGUGUGUUCCAUUGGACUAUUCAGACUCCAUUUCAGCUGUGAUCACAGUUUUAAUGAGCACGUUGAUACUUUGGUUUGGUGACCCAAACCAAAACUGACGUACUCCUGAGCGAGAGGAAGAACUUAGAGAUGAAAGGGAAGUGAUAAAUAAGAGUUUCUUACAAAUGCUUAUUGGGUCACCAAAACAACUAACUUGCAUCUGGUUCACAACAAGUCCUAGUUAAAAGAAGACAUGAAAACAAUCAAAAUAUGGAUGUGUAUGUAUGUGCCAGUGUUAACAGAUUUUGUAAAAUAGAUAGGGAAAGUGACAGUCAUGAGUAAAACUUAACAAAUGCAGGCGUUGACAAAGGAAGGAAAAAAGUUAUUCUGAGAGGCAUCAUGGCCCAACAAUACCAGAAAAAUCCUUCAGUUUUUUUGGUGUCCUGGAAUCAAGGUGGAAUCAAAGCAUCAGUAAAGAUCUGGUCCGAGAUGGGGAGGUACCCUGCACUCCUGCCCACACAUCCAUCUUGCCAGCUGAGUGUUGUUACAGCUGCAGCACACCUGUGUUGCCAGUUCUGUCUGACGGGGUUUGGCAGCAGGAGCCUUAGGAGAGCAUUUGGAAUCUUUUGAAUCCAGCAAAAGUUUGGACAGCACCAUUGGCCAUUACUCUAGAACUGCUUUAUUUCAUCCAGACAUGAUCAUCCAGAAACGCCAGAAGCUGUGGAUGGAGUGACACCCAGGUUACUGAAGACUGAGCUGAGCCAAGAACCACCCUGUCAAUGCUCCAUCUUGGUGCCACAAUAAUUGACUAGAACUUACAGAUUUCUUUUUGAGACAAACAUAUGAAGAGCUUUCAUCAAGUAAGUGACCCUGAAAUAGGAACAAAUCAGUAGCAUCUAUCACCUGUGCAGGAUCCACAGGAGGAGUGCCUCACUGCAAGAGCUGAAUCUGAUUGUACGAUGUGGGAUCAGUGUGACUAAAACAGUGGUGGUACCUUAAGAGUUCAGUCUUGUUUUUCUAAACAAACAUCUUAAAAUAAACUAUGUGAUGCCCUCCAUGUUGCAGAGAGAGCAGAACCCCUCUUACCCUUCAAGAUGAAUCUAAAGGGGCAAUAUGUGUACAAGCACAUUUUUGGGUGGGUGUGAAGGUUUACUCAUGAUUGACCAAACAGUUUUCCAUAGAGAAUAAACUGGCAAUGUUAGACUGGAAUGGAGUGACUGUGGUGUUUCUUUUUUCUUACCAAAAAUACCUACAGUGUUUUUACACAGGGUGUAAGUUUCCACAUUUGGCUACAGGCAGCACUACCAGUGUUUGAACAGGAAAAAACAAACAUUUUUGUUACUAAACCUGGCCAGGCAAUGACUGAACAGCUCUGUGGACAAACUUCUCACAACCUCUCUUAGUAGAGUUCCCUGCCCAAAACCACUGUAGGACCUCUGUCACUGAAGGUGCUCAGAACUGAACUGGACAUAACAUGGGCAACCUCACAUCAUGUUCCACAGGCCCUGCUCUGAGCAGGUUGGCCAGCAGGGCUGCUCGAGUCUUGUGUAACCUAAGCCAUCCCCAGUUUCUUUGCCUACAGAACACUGGGCCAUUUUGGAGUGCUGCACACUGUGGAAGGAGAAAUUUAGUACUGAAGUCUUGCUGAGAAGUUUAGGAGCCCAAAGUAUUUUUGUUUAUCCAGCUGUGAGGGAGGAAAAAAAUAAAGUUAAAAGCUAAUGGCACUUGUACACACCUAGGAGAUAAUUGCCUGUAUUCCUAGUACAUCCAAGGCAUUACCAUUAGCAAAUGGCAGGUGUCUGGUUUUAGCAAAGGGCAGCAGUAUAAUGAAUACUGUGAUGCAGGCAUGCUGAUUCAAGUGGUUAAUUUUUCCUCUCUUUCCUAUGCCGAGCAGAUCUCUAUGAUGAGAGGGGUCACACUGCAGCAAAGUAUUUCUGAAACCAGUAAGCAGGUGAAGCAGUGUGUGCAAGUAGGCAUGCAAUCCUCACAGUCCUAGAUAGACUGGGGAGGGGAAACUGAAAAUAAGUCUUAAAUAAAGCUCUUCAUAUUUUGC